rnacentral:tRNA from 1 species
GCCACCUUAGCUCAAUGGCAGAGCAGUAGUUUUGUAAACUACGGAUGCGGGUUCGAUUCCUGCAGGUGGCU